rnacentral:lncRNA from 1 species
CAGGAAGCUGGAAAGUAUAGAGCUUGGUCUUCCUCCUUCACAGCAUAGGAAAGUCCCCCAUUGCCCCGUGAUCUACACACAAACACACACACACACAUACACACACACACAGAGAGAGAGAGAGAGAGAUCAUGAGUUCAAUACUGGAGUCCCAGGUAGCACAUUUGGCUUCAUGGCCUGAUUAUCCUCUGGGUUGGAUGGAUCAACCUCCAGGGUCCUUCAUUUUCCACCAAGGCUGUAAAGAGAAAACUUCCACUGUGUACAGCUUAAACUCAAAGGCAUAGGAAGAACAUGUUAAUUCGCUGAAACAUCAUUUUCUUAGCUAUUUCCAAGCAUGUUUCCAGUUGUUAGGACAAUUAUCCCCAGACAGCUGGCAUCUUCUACAGGAUCACAGAAAAGUCAGGUUACACCUGAUGAAGAUGAGGAAGCUCUUCUUACCCCACUCUCUCUUACAUGCGUUAUGCAUGUCCACAUACACAUAUACAUGCACAAACAUAAUACACAUCAGGGGUGGGGUGCAUUUGUAUACUACACAGUAUCCACAAGCCAAGCCAUAAACAAGAUUAAGAGUACAGGGAAAAACUCCCAUCCCACCCAACACACAAUCAUUUUCUUGCUUUAUCUCCUUCUCUCUCAUCGUCUCCCCAUUGCUCUUUGCAGCCCAGAGACCUCAGAGUAGUUAGUGUCAGAUAUCAGUGAGAGAAAAAAAAAUUCCAUGACAGGCAUUGUGUCACCUCCAAGACUUUCUACACUGACAAAGACAAGAAUAGAGUUUGUAAAAUACACACAUUUCCUCCCUGACAGAAAACUGGGAUGGCAGCAGCCCUGAUAAAACACACGCUGCCCCUCCUCACACAACACUGGCUGCUUAUAUUCAGAGCAAGCAACUAUCCUCUCUUUUAUUGUUUAAUUAUGAGCUGACGCAGUGAAGAUAAAGGCCCGACCAAUCCAGGGCUCAAGAAUGCCAAUCAUUCUCUGCAGAGAAACUGGGGCUUACUGGCUCCCUCUUAUUAUAUUUGUUAUGAUUUUAGUUUGUUCAGCAGUAAAUGCAAUAUUGACAUUUAGAACCUCAAGAAGGAAAAAGAAAUAAUAAAGAAACGAGCAACCAAAAACAUCAUUAGCUUCCAAUAUGCGAGCACUUUCUAACUGGGGGGCCAUGAGUACAUCUCCGCUGUUUUUGCUUUUUUUUUUUUAAUUUUAUUUCCCUUUCCCCCUUACUAACAUGUCCACAGAGGCGUGUUUUCCAGUCAACAAUGCGUUCACAAUCGAUAUCUCUUAUGUACAGCAUGCACAAGAUCGUGUUCCAAAUGGAAGAAGAGGGGGAUAUUGAAUGUGCUCGCCAGAGAUAAUCUGACUUUGGUCAGAGCUGGGUGAGGAGACAGUUGGGGAGUGCAGGCGGAGCAAGUGGGAGCAAGAUCUCGGUGUGCUGAUUUACAAGGCUGGGAAUAACACCGAGCUCUCUAGCACAUCCAUCUUCAACUCAAAUCAUCUCAGGCCCCCAGCGCUGACAUGCUAGCCGAGGUGGGAGAUAUUCGGAAGUUAUGCAUCUCUUUCCCCUUGACAUUUUCACAAACAAAAUUAUUUAUCUCAAAGAUUCAAUCAGUGCCCUGAAUAUAUUUUACGGGCAUUAAAAACUUUCAUUUUCUUUUUCUAGAGACUCUGUUUCUGGUGAGUUGAGAGGGACUCUACCUUGCUGACUGUAAAGCGGUCUCUUCACACCAAGUCUUCUAGGCCUUGUGUACUGCCAUGUUCGACCACCAUCUCUGGCUAACAUCAUUUGUGACCUUUUCCAGCUUUCUCAAUAGGCUGUGAGUGUUGCAUGAUAAUGGCCUCAUAGCAUCCAUCCUUGUAUCCCAACAUCCAUAACAGUGCUUGGCACUAAGCAUGUGAAAGGUGGUAUCAGGAUAAUGUCUCAAGAAACAGAAACAAAACAAACAAACAAAUAAAAAAAUUCUUAGAAGCUAAUAGAAAACGCUGCUAAUUCCCCCAUGUUGUCUUUGAGACCACUAACCCUAAAGGACCAUGGGAAUUCCUGGAGCCUUUGGUGUGUAUUUCUUUGGAUUCUCUGCAGGAAAGAUUCCAGCUGGGUGAGAUUGCCAUGUUUUCAGCAUUUAAUCAUCCAAAAGUGAAAAUAUUUUUUAAACAUCUUCAGGCUAGGUAAAUUUGGGAAUUUUAAGAUUAUAAGGAGAGGGGAGAAUGUUAUGAGUUUAUAUAUGUGUGCAUACACAUGUGCUUGCACAUAUAUGUGUUUAUGUGUAUAUGUGCAUUCAUGCAUUGUGGGGAUCAUGUGUGUAGGCAAAUUAGCCAGUGUGUGUAUGCAUGCAUGUUUGUGUGUGUCUAUGUGUGUGUGCAAGCAUACUUGUUCUUUCUUCUCUGGCAAAUGUAUUAAAAAACCAUUGGCAAGCUAGAAGGGCAAGUAACAGCUUGCCCACUUCCAGGCACAAAGCAAGGCUAGCUAGCACUUUCCAUGAGAGCACAGUAGCCAUCCGUAUGGCAGCUUCUUUCCACCAUAGCUCACAAGCUUGUGUUUUUCUUAGCGGUGUCUUCACAAUGCUUCAUGACUUUGGGCCUUGGCUUCUUUCCCCCUCUUAUCUUAUCUCUUGAAUUCUACCCUCUGGCCAUCCUCCUACUGUCCCAGUAACACCAUGCAUCUGAGUGUGAGAUGUGACAGUGACACAUGUGGAUAAUGCCUCUUACCUUUCCAAAUUUGGCUCUGGGUCACAUGAAGAGGAAAAUGUACUUUGCCAACCUUCCAACAGCCUGAGCCAGAGCCCACCCUUGCAGUCCACACCAGCCAGUGUGAACGAUCAGAGCCUUAGGUCUUAGAAAUUCUUUGCAAAUCUUGUAUUACAUUCCACCAACCCAUAAGGUUCACAGAACUGGGAAGUAUCUGUCUCUAUAGCCUAUAAAUGUUUACUAAUGAGUAAAAUCACAUGGCUGUGUCAAUAAAAGACUUACCACUGUAAAGUCUGGAGAUGGUCUUGGAGAGGCUACCUGUGCAUACGAAUCUGCAUCUAGAUGUAAGCCAUGGGUCAGAAGUCACCUGCAGAUCCAUGAGCUGUGGCAGAGAAGCUCAAAGCUGAGGCAGAGACCCCAGCUACUAACCAGAGAAGAGAAAGAGUUGCAGAUUGAACUGACAGCCAGCCUGGCUUCUCACUUCUCGUCUGGUUUGCUCAGACCCUUAGCACAGUUUCUUUGGAGCCAGAGCACAAAGCGCCUUCCAUGGGGAUACUAUGGUCUGAGAGGGUGCACAUUGCAGAGAAGAGUUAUCUGGCUGGGACCAAGCAGAGGCAGGCUGAGCACGAGGGAAGUAGACACUGCUUUCUCAGGCAUGAGGUGCUGCAUGAUCAACUGGCAGGAAGUGGAAGGUUCGAGAGAUCCAGCGGAUUUACUCUGUGACCCAGAAGGUGUGAAGCGUCUCUGGACAUCACUGAAUGUCCUGCAGGUAACUGCUCUGAACAGCCACACUGCUGUCGGCAGUUGGGAGGCAUUCAUCCUCACCAGCGAGAGCUCGAGACGAGAUGGAAAGGACAUGUCACAGCAUUUUAAUCAGCCAUUGUAGUUUGGAAUGUUUUAAUUAAGGUUUAUCUGUUACCAUUAUGACUAUAAUCCUGAGAAGCACCAAGCCUGCCCUAGCAGGGGGAAGAGAGGAGGAAAACAUGUCACAAUUAAAAUAAUUAUUAAUCUAAUCUCAUUAGGUAUGGAUUAUUAAUUAUUGUUGCUAUUCUCUUGCACAGGGGGCAAGCCCCUUUCCUGAUGGGGAUCAUAGCUGUGCAGCUAUGCUGGGGAACUACCCCCUCUCUGAAGGCAGAUGCUUCACCCCCUCCUUCUGGACGUUACCUUAGGUCUCCACCAGAAAUCAUCCCUUCGUAUACUUAAUGGAAGUAGGAAUGUUCCUUGCACUUGACUUGCAUGUACAAGUCCCUAGGUUCCUUCCCAACUACUUCCCAAAACAUUAUUUAGUGCUGGGUGAGAGAGAGAGACUCCACGUGUUGCUUAUUUUGUGAUCCAAGCUCUCACUCCAUCCCCCUUCGCUCCCUUAUACAAGAUGAGCUCCUUGUUCUGCUCUUGGAUGUCCCAGCAUGCCAGCCCAAUCUAUCUUACUGUGGGUUUCUCCCAGGUUGACUCCCACAUUUGGUCAUGGCAUUGAAGAGUUUUUCUCUGUCCUUCAUCUUUGUAUUUCUUCCAACAAAUGCUCUUUCCAUCAUAACACCUACAGGGAUCCUGUGACUAAUAUCACCUUCACUUUUAGAGGAGGAAGAGGAAGAGGGGGCAGAAUAAGAGGUUGGGGGGGGAAUAAACAGC